rnacentral:SRP_RNA from 1 species
UGCCAGGCACUGAUCGGCGAGUUUAUACCCAACCCCGUCAGAUCCGGAAGGAAGCAGCGGUCAGUAUGUAACUCGGGUGAUAAAGUGCUUGGCAUUU